ensembl:lncRNA
CUUUUCCUCUGCAGGUGGAAUUGGAAAUAACACCGCUAAUAAACUAAGGUGUUGACAAGGUGAAGUAUCGCAGUGCCUGCAAGAGGAAAGGUGACAGUUGGCGUUUUCGCCUCUGGAGGAGCAGUCCCUCUGACGUGUCUGCUUGGGUUUCAGGGCAGCUGCCCUCUGCUCUUCUGAGCCUGCAUCUUGUAAGCACCCAGGGGUGAACCUUCCGAGAUGGAGAAAACGAGAUUCAGAGAGGCUGAAUGAUGUCAUCAAGCCCACUCAGCUAUUUGACUGUGAAUUCAGAGCUCGACUUCAGAUCUCAGGAUCCCAGAUGGCUAUGCAGUUGUUGAGCCACCAGGACUGGGGCAGAGAGACAGAAGGAGAAGCAGGAAGCGUGGGUAUUGGGUACGAGUUUGAGAUGACGGGACCCUCUCUGGGCCUGGGAGGCAUUCACCGCUGACCCUCAUGCUGUCAGACACUUGGUGAGGUCUUCACAUUUCCUUUGCCGGGCCUUUCUGACUGCAACUCCGCUGACCCGACAGGUCUCCUU